UACGGGGGGGGCAAGCGUUGUUCGGAAUUACUGGGCGUAAAGGGCUCGUAGGUGGCCAACUAAGUCAGACGUGAAAUCCCUCGGCUUAACCGGGGAACUGCGUCUGAUACUGGAUGGCUUGAGUUUGGGAGAGGGAUGCUGAAUUCCAGGUGUAGCGGUGAAAUGCGUAGAGAUCGGUAGGAACACCCGUGGCGAAGGCGGUCUCCUGGGGCCUUCUUGACGCUGAGGCGCGAAAGCUGGGGGAGCGAACGGG
rnacentral:rRNA from 1 species